rnacentral:rRNA from 1 species
AUUGAACGCUGGCGGCAGGCCUAACACAUGCAAGUCGAGCGGAGCGGCGGACGGGUGAGUAAUGCAUAGGUAUCUGACUGGUAGUGAGGGAUAACGUCCGGUAACGGAUGCUAAUACCGCAUACUAUCAGAUGAGCCUAGGUCGGAUUAGCUAGUUGGUGGGGUAAAGGCCUAGCAAGGCGACGAUCCGUAACUGGGCUGAGAGGAUGACCAGUCACACUUGAACUGAGACACGGUCCAGACUCCUACGGGAGGCAGCAGUGGGGAAUAUUGGACAAUGGGCGAAAGCCUGAUCCAGCCAUGCCGCGUGUGUGAAGAAGGUCUUCGGAUUGUAAAGCACUUUAAGUUGGGAGGCGUUACCAACAGAAUAAGCACCGGCUAACUCCGUGCCAGCAGCCGCGGUAAUAC